rnacentral:rRNA from 1 species
AUUGAACGCUGGCGGCAGGCUUAACACAUGCAAGUCGAACGAGUGGCGGACGGGUGAGUAAUGUCUGGGAAUCUGCCUGCUGGAGGGGGAUAACUACUGGAAACUGUAUCUAAUACCGCAUACCAUAAGAUGAGCCCACGUGGGAUUAGGUAGUUGGGGGGGUAGCGGCUCACCAAGGCGACGAUCUCUACCUGGUCUGAGAGGAUGACCAUGCACACUGGAACGGAGACACGGGCCAGACUCAUCGGAGUGGCAGCAGUGGGGAAUCUUGCGCAAUGGGGGCAAGCCGGCAGCAGCCAUGCAGCGUGAACGAAGAAGGCGUUCGGGUUGUAAAGUACUUACGGCGGGGAGGCGUUACCCGCAGAAGAAGCAACGGCUAAAUCCGUGCCAGCCGCCGCGGUAAUAC